rnacentral:rRNA from 1 species
GACGAACGCNGGCGGCGUGCCUAAUACAUGCAAGUAGAACGCUGAAGGAGGAGCUUGCUCUUCUGGAUGAGUUGCGAACGGGUGAGUAACGCGUAGGUAACCUGCCUGGUAGCGGGGGAUAACUAUUGGAAACGAUAGCUAAUACCGCAUAAGAGUAGAUGUUGCAUGACAUUUGCUUAAAAGGUGCAAUUGCAUCACUACCAGAUGGACCUGCGUUGUAUUAGCUAGUUGGUGAGGUAACGGCUCACCAAGGCGACGAUACAUAGCCGACCUGAGAGGGUGAUCGGCCACACUGGGACUGAGACACGGCCCAGACUCCUACGGGAGGCAGCAGUAGGGAAUCUCCGGCAAUGGACGGAAGUCUGACCGAGCAACGCCGCGUGAGUGAAGAAGGUUUUCGGAUCGUAAAGCUCUGUUGUAAGAGAAGAACGAGUGUGAGAG